ACAGACACAUUGUGUGUUAAUAUUGUGCUUAACUGUUUACACAAUGACUGUGUUAAACACAUUUAAACAGUAUGUUGGAAUACAGUGCAUUUUUGGUCGUAGUCAAAUGGCACUGUGUUAUGUGUUUAUGUAGUUUAUUUAUCAUGAUGGUAAUAUAAAAUAAGCAAUUGUGAGAAUGUGGUUGAAAAUUCUGUAUUUCGGGAUUUAUGCUGUGGAAUUUCUACACGCGCAUGCGCAGUGACGUUCUUUUUCAACCGUCGCUCUCCCAGACCUCUGCCGGAUAAUGCACCUCUCUGCCUCAGGUGAGUGAAAUUAAUUACAAUUCGUCUACGAUAGUAAAUAUUGUUUCCAGUCUGCGUGAGAAUGUUUUGUGUUAGUUGGCCAAGAAGUUAUUUUUGUUACUUUUAUUAUGUCUCCAUGUUUGGCAACUCUCUGUCAUGCAACAUCAACUUUAGCCGUGCAAGCUAACGCUUCUGGCGCGUCUUUUGUAAAGCUGCUUUUGCACUUGGCAGAAUUGUUAAUAAGUUACAUAUAAGGCGAAAGACUUACGCUAAAUAUGUAUUGCAUUUUGGUACGUCAUGAGAGUUACCGUUACUUUAAAAUCACCGGCUCCGCGUCACUUUAAAGCCUCCGCGUCUCUGACACGUGAGGUAAUGUUACCGGACACAAUUUAUACAUUUACGUUAUUAUCAUAAUGUUAUUUAAUAAAAAGCCUAAGGUGACGCUUUGCGGCAGGAAUUUAAACAAGAAUCCCUUGUCAUAACGUUAGUUAGGCGCUUUGUACAGACACCAAAUGGCGCCGCGGAGUGAGCAAAUUCAUAAACAAUGUCUUAAAUAUGAAUAUCUUUAAUGAAAUCAACAUUGCGCGCCAUUUUGUGCUACCCAGCUAGUCACAUACUAUUUAAAAUGUACUUUUUAUUGUCAUACACAGUUACUUGUGUGUGUUUUCUCAUUGUGCUGUGUAUAUAUGGAUUUCUUUCUCUUUUACUUAGAUGAUGGAAGUCGAGGAACAAAUUACAGUCCCUCUAACAGUUUUACACCGAGUUCUUGCAACUGUCUUCAUAGACGGAAAGGAAAUAUGGAGAAAACUAUCCUCAGUCAAACCUGAACUGUCUCGACUAUCUCUUGAUUGAAUAUUGAAAUUUGACACAGAUUUUCAAGAGUUCAUUGACACUGAUGUAAAUGCAGGAGUACAGGAGCUUGACAAAUUUCAAAUAAAUUAUAUUGCAAGCAACACCCCCGACUCAUUAGAAAGUGUGCACUCAUUACAGUGUCCUUUAACAGAUUCAACUCAGACUGGCACCACAACUAGUUUGCUGACGCUGCUUGAAGAAAAAGCCUCUACAAUCCUGAGAGAACAUGAAGAGACAAAGACGCUGUCCAUUUUCUCAUGAAAGAUUCUUGUUAAAGUUGCUGUCAGUGACCUUGUAGAGAAACAUGCAUUCUAUCCAAUUUGGUACAGAAAAACUGGCACUAGCAAAAGAGAUUGUGUCAUUGUUCCCCUCGUUAAGGAUUCAAGUGCCCUUUGGUGAAAAUGAGGGACAUGAGCAUUUUUUGCUGGGCCAUCACACAGUGGAUUUAUUGAAAUGAGAUUACGUAACAUCAGAUGGAAGCUUCAACAGAGCCAGCGGGUGUACAAUUUGAAACAUCAUCAUUGUACACCGCAACCUUCUUUACCAAGUCAAGAUGAAACUGUACCAAGUGAGUGGUUGACUCUGAUAAAGAGGAUUUCUUGACAUGCCAGCUUUGAUGGACAUUGAAUCCGGAAAUGGGACGGGACGAUAAUUCCAAAACUCAAGAAAAUAGCAUCCUUGGAGAGGAAAAAUGACAUCAGACACUUACUGGAGAAGGCUGACAAUAAGCAUGAUGGUAUGAGCUGUGUUACACUAUGUUGAAGAUCCUUAUUCAUCUUCUUCCACCCACUGCAUCUGUGAGAAGUGUUGCUGGGAGUAAAUGCUGUGUGACUUCUGCUGUGUCCUACCUGUUGGUACAAGUUCCGGCUGGUACUAACGUUACAUCUUUGCUUGCUGAAUCCAUGAAAGGGACCCUAAAGUCAGCUCAGCCGCAGUUGUUUUCCAUCGGUUCUAUAGGACAUGAUCCCAGUACGUAAUUGUGGCAAAGAAUGACUCUUUUGCUCUUCCAUUUGAUGUUGAAAGCCUGACCUGUGCUGUGACAGACUUUUCAAAUUCUUCUGGCUGUGCAAUCUUCAGUAUCCAUGCCAACUGUAUUCUGUUUUUAUUUUUUUGAGUGUAUAUAUAUAUAUAUAUAUAUGACCUGUCUUUGUCUCAGUCAUCUUGCAAACGAUCAAAGUUCAUGGAAUUGAUUGCUAAGGUGCAGUCUCGUACCUAAUUGAAAUAAGCAUGUACACCUGUCCAAAGUGUCUUCAAAAUGAUUGUGUUGAAACAAAGGGGUUAAUUUGGCAUUUAAGGGAAGUGCAUGUACUCUCUGAUAGUCACAACCUAACUAUUAUUUUGUCAAAAUGGUUAAUUACAAUUCCUUUUUAAAACAUCUGAACAGACAUCACUUUAAAAUGAAUUCAUGCCCUUCUAUAGAGUCAGGACACACAGAGAACUUGGAUAUAUCCAAUCAAAUUGAUAAAAGCAGAAUAAGUAAUUUUGAGGAUAAUGUCCAUAUGUUUCUGAGAGUAUUAAGAGUAAAGUAUUUUGAUGAACAUCUUUUUCCUUCUUUGUCAUCCGAACAAAUGAUUUUGACAUGGCUUUGCUGCCUGGGGACUUAAUAGAUUACAGACCUCUAGACAUUAUGUCAUUUUGUGAUCAGCAGUAUGUAACUCCUAAAUACAAAAUUUUGUUUUAAACAUGUUAGUGGUUGAAACUUUGGUAACACUUUAUAAUACACACUAUAAAUCAUUUAUUA